AGUACGCGUGAGGAACCUGCCUCAAAGAGGGGGACAACAGUUGGAAACGACUGCUAAUACCGCAUAAGCCCACGGCUCGGCAUCGAGCAGAGGGAAAAGGAGCAAUCCGCUUUGAGAUGGCCUCGCGUCCGAUUAGCUAGUUGGUGAGGUAAUGGCCCACCAAGGCGACGAUCGGUAGCCGGACUGAGAGGUUGAACGGCCACAUUGGGACUGAGACACGGCCCAG
rnacentral:rRNA from 1 species